AAGUUGCAGUCAAGCGCUCAUAUGAGAACAAUUAUAAGAGGCUUGAGCAGUUCUUGAAUGAAGUUGAUAUUCUAACUCGCUUGCGCCAUCAAAACCUUGUCUUACUGCAUGGAUGCACCUCUCGGGACAGCCGUGAACUCCUACUAGUAUAUCAGUACAUUCCCAAUGGUACACUUGCUGAUCAUCUUCAUGGUGAAAGAGCAAAGCCUGGUGCACUCCCUUGGUCUACUCGAAUGAACAUUGCUGUAGAGACUGCAUAUGCACUGGCAUAUCUUCAUGCUUCUGUUAUUGUGCACCGUGACGUGAAAACCACCAAUAUUCUCCUUGACAACAAUUUCUGUGUUAAAGUUGCAGAUUUUGGCCUAUCUCGACUCUUUCCUACAGAUGUCACCCAUGUUUCAACUGCUCCACAAGGGACUCCUGGUUAUGUUGAUCCAGAAUAUCAUCAAUGCUACCAGCUGACCGAUAAGAGUGAUGUCUAUAGCUUUGGGGUGGUCUUGAUUGAGCUUAUAUCAUCAAUGCCUGCUGUUGAUAUCUCUAGACACCGGCAUGAAAUUAAUUUGUCUACCAUGGCAAUCAAUAAAAUCCAAAGCAAUUCAUUGAAUGAACUUGUUGACCCCAGUCUGGGGUUUGAAUCAGAUUACGCAGCGAGAAAAAUGAUUAGGGCUGUGGCUGAGUUGGCUUUUCAAUGUCUGCAGAAUGCAAAGGAGUUGAGACCAUCUAUGGAAGAAGUGUUGCAGAUUCUAAAAGAAAUACAAAGCAGAGACUACAAUGCGGAAAAGGCAGAGGAUAUAAAUAGUCCUUCAGAUGAUGUUGGGAUGUUAAAGAGUGGUCCGAUACCGCCUUCACCUGAUACUGUCACUGUUACAUGGAUUAGCACGUCCUCGACACCUCAUGCCAGUGUUUAAUUGUUUCACUAAAUUCUCAAUUACAUAGAGAAGAGAGGCAGGGGACCUAUGUGCACUGAAUAAUGUGAUAGUGCCGCCACUCUCUAUUUAUUUGCCGUUGAUUAGCAUUUGUAUUUUAGCCAGAUGUACAGAAAUUGUUUGUAUUUGCAAAUAUAGAUGUUACCGUGUGUGUGAGACCAUAUUUUGACCGUGUAAUCAUGAGUUUGAAUUUCACGAGAGCUUCAACAGGGCAUUUGCCAGUUUGUUGCAUGUUAGUAGGACCAGAGCAACUAUCUUGAUGUUAGCAACUGCAUUUGUAAAUUCCAAGGGAGAAAAAAAGACUGAUGAUCAAGUUCAUCCUUUUCUCCCUCCGUGAACCAGGUGCAGCUGGAAUGCUGUUCCUAUUGGCUGCAGAUGUACUAUGAAAACGCUACUGGAAAGGAUUGUUCUUAAGUAAUAGAAGGGACGAUACUGAAUUUCACAGCAGAAAUUGUUAAAUGUAAGUUGCCAAUCUGUUCCGCAUAUAAGAAAUUUCAGGAAAAGCCAUUUCACAUCAGUAUGUUUAAAGCAUGAGAACAAUUCUUGACCCAGUAACUGUCACAAAUAUCAAAUUUCAAUGUAAAAUUGUUUUGUGUUUUCAUUGAUUUCUGAAGGAAGAAUUCAGUCUUCUAAAUACAUGUAAUAAUCCCUAAUUUACUGUCUCUAAUCCCUAAUUUGUAGUCUAUAAUAAAUACAAUAAAUACAAGAUAUUCUGUUACAAUUUGGUUGCCAUAUAUUGUUGAUAUUCUUGCCAUAAUAUACACUGACAUCCCCCUUCAAAUUGAAGCUGGCCGAUCAAGAAGCAUCAAUUUGUCAAUGAUGAGUUGAUGUCGAGGCCGAGACAAGGCCUUCGUAAAGACAUCAGCUGUCUGAUGCUCGGUGGAAAUAUGAGGCAGUGUAAGAAUAUUAUGAUCAAGAGCUUCACGAAUGUAGUGACAAUCAACUUCAAUAUGUAUGGUGCGUUCAUGAAACACAGGAUUAGUAGCAAUCUGAAUAGCACUUGUGUUAUCAGCAUGAAGAGGUGUAGGAGUGUGCUGAGGAAAACCAAGUUCACGUAGCAAACCCUGGAGCCACACAAUUUCAGAACAUGCAGAGGACAUAGCUCGAUACUCAGAUUCUGUGGAAGAUUUUGAGAUUCGGUCUUGCUUUUUGCUUUUCCAUGAAAUUAUAGCAUUUCCAAGAAACAUACACCACCUAGUAACAGACCGACGUGUAUUCAUGCACCCUGCCCAAUCUGCAUCACUAUAACCUGUUAAUUGUAAUGAAUUAUCAGCAGGAAAAAAUAAUCCUCGCCUAGAUGUGCCUUUAAGAUAGCAAAGAAUUCUUCGGACAACAGCUAAAUGAGGUUGACGAGGAGCCUGUAAAAACUGACUGACUUAUUGUACUGCAAAAGAAAUAUCUGGCCGAGUAAUGGUUAAAUAAUUCAAACUGCCCACCAAUUGCCUGUAUAUGGAGGGAUCAGGUAACAGGUCACCAUCAUUCUGACAAAGUUUUAAAUUAAUCUCGAGAGGUGUAAGAACGCUAUUCCCUGAUUCAAGACUGCCCAAGAUAAGAAUCUCUUGGGUGUAUUUGUUCUGAUGUAGAGAAAUCCCAUUGGACAUAGAGUGCACCUGUAGACCAAGGAAAUAGUGAAGGUGUCCCAGAUUCUUCAUAUGAAAUUCACUGUUAAGAGAACGCUGUAAAUCCUCAAUGAGUGGAAUGUCAGAUCCUGUAAUGAUAAUAUCAUCCAUAUAUACCAGAAGAGCAACAAUACCAGUAGUAGUUUGCUGAAGAAACAGAGAGGAAUCAUAUUGGCUCUGAAUAAAUUUAAGUUUCAGAUGAGUAGUGCGAAAUUUUUCAAACCAUGCCCGUGGUGCCUGUUUUAGACCAUACAGGGACCGUUUCAACCAGCAGAUUUUAUCAUAUGGGUGAGUAAACAUACCAGGAGGAGGAGCCAUAUAAAUAUUCUCUUUCAGGUCUCCAUGUAAAAAUGCAUUUUUUACAUCCAUUUGACAAAGUGGCCAUCUCUUGGAAGCAGCAAUUGCCAUAAUGGUUCGUAUGGUAGUCAUUUUAGCCAUAGGUGCAAAUGUCUCCUCAUAAUUAAUACCAUAUGCCUGACAAUUUCCAAGAGCCACCAACCGUGCUUUAUAUCGUUCCACAGAUCCAUCAAGUUGGAAUUUAAUAGUGUAUACCUAUUUGCAGCCAAUAGGUUUAAUUCCGAUAGGACAAGAAACAAUAUCCCAUGUGUGAUUAUCCUGAAGAGCCUGGAGUUCCUCUUUCAUGACCUGUUGCCAACAGUCUUGGGUAGAAGCCUGGGCAUAAGUCUUAGGCAUAAAAGUACUAUCAAUAGUAGUUGCUGAGUAUCCAUACCUGUUUGGGGCAUCUGAAACUCGAGUUGAUCAUCUUAGUUUAGGGGAAUGAUCAGAUGUCGGUUCCGUGUCCGGAAGGGGCAAGUGGAUGGUGGAUGACGUCUUUGAUAUACAAUUCCUGGCUUAAAACGUUCAAAGAUAUAAGAUGGACUAUCAUCAUCAAAUGUGGGAAGCUGGAUAGGAGUGGAUUCUGUAGAGGGAUAAGAAGGGAAAAAAUUUCUGAUUUUCAAAGAAAAUCACAUUUCGAGAGAUACGAAUUUUAUGAGCAUUUGCAUCAUAACACACAAACCCUUUAUGAGAAUUACUGUAUCCUAGAAAAGCACAACAAGCAGCUUGGGCUGAAAGUUUAUUACAUUCAGUAAAUGGUAAGUGAACAAAACAAACACACCCAAAAACAUGGAGAGAAUCAUACUCAGGAAUAACACCAAAUAAAAUAGAGUAUGGAGAUGCAAAGUUUAGAACUUGAGAAGGCAAACGAUUAAUUAGAUGAACGGCUGUUGACAGAGCUUCUACCCAAAAUCGAGUAGAUACCGAAGAAUCAAUUAAUAAGGUGCGAACAACAUCUAAAAGAUGACGAUUCUUACGCUCAGCAACUCCAUUUUGUUGAGGAGUGUAAGGACAAGAUCUUUGAGAGAGAAUCCCUUUAUUUUUGAGAUAUUCCUGAAAUUCUUUGGACACAUAUUCCCCCCCCGGAGUCAAAACGAAGUAUUUUAAUAUGAGCAGAAAAUUGAUUUUCAAUAAAUACAAUGAAAGCCUGAAAUGUUGAGAAUACAUCAGCCUUAGAUCAGAGAAAAUAUAUCCAAGUGAAAUGACUGAAACCAUCAAUAAACGUGACAAAAUAUUUAUACUGAGCAUGAGAGAUAACAGGGCUUACGCCCCAUACAUCAGUAUGAAUAAUUUCAAAACAUUUAGAAGCACAACUACCAUGUGAAGGAAAUGAUAAUGCUUUGCUUUUACCCAAUUUGCAAGAACUACAAUCCAAAAAUUCUGUUGAAAAAGAAUUUUUAUUCCCCAAAUAUCCAUGUUUCAUAAGAUGAGUCAAUACAUUAGAAUUGGGAUGCCCCAAUUUCUUAUGCCAAAAAUGAGGAUUUUUAAUGACAGUAGAAUAAACACAAGAAUUAAUACUAGGAAUAGAAAAUUGUAUUGUAAAUAAACAUCCCACUUUAGGCCCCUUCGCGAUCACCUUCCCCGACACUUGAUCCUGCACACAACAACCAUGACGAUCAAAGUGAAUUUCACAGUCAUUUUCUACCAUUUGACCAACAGAGAGUAAACUUGUGGAUAAUUUUGGUGACACAAAAAUAUUUUUGAAAUAAGACCCCAAAUUACCAAUCGAUAAAAUCGGCAGAUUAUCACCAUUUGUUACCUGUAUAAGCUGAUUACCCAUGUAUUUUUGCACAUUAUACAACCCAUUUUCACUGCUGGUCAUGUGAUUCGACGCUGCCGAAUCCAUUAACCAUUGUUUAUUAUGUGCCGAAUCCAAGGGAAAGUUAAGUUUAUUUUUCUUACCAGAAAUCCCGAGUGCAGAGAAGACAGAUAUUAUCAUCUGCUGCACCAUCUUGGGAGUGAGAGUGCUCGACGAAGAGCUCACCGACGCUGAAGAUUCUGGUGUCAACGGUGAGGACAUGGCUGCGGCAGCCAUAGAAGCAGCCCCUAAUUUCGUCUGUAUAGUAAACCCAUAUCAAUUCUAUGGUCGCAGACGACAUUCCUUGAUUACAUGCCCCUCUUUCUUACAAUAAUCACAGAAUUUCUUGCUGCAAUUUCUAGCAAUGUGCCCUAAUUCUUUGCAAUUAAAACACUGCACACUCACACCCCUCUGUCGUCCCCUUCCUUGAGCCAUGUAAACCACAUUCAUCUCUGUGACAGUGUCCUGAGUCCAACUCGUGUUGAGUGGCGAGUCGUUGUUCUUCCCAUAACAAUUCCCCCAAACAUUCAUCCAAAGUGGGUACUGGACUUCGGUUGAUCAAGCUAGUUCUCACGGCCUCAAAUUCUGGCCGGAGCUUCAUCAAGAACUGGUCCCUCUGGCUCUCGGCAUAAACAAGGUAUAGUGCUUCUAAACUCUCCUUCGGUAUUUUAGAGUAAAUUAUGCCAGUAUAUUCACUCCAUAGGUUUAGAAAUCCAGCAUAGAAUUGUUCAAUUGAGAGAUUACCUUGUUUGUAAUUGGCAAUACCCAUUUCGACUUGAAAUGUUUUAGCCGAAUUGUUUUGGGAAUAGAUGCGUCUGAAGUAGUCCCAAAUCUCCUUCCCUGUGCCAAACGAUCGAAGAUUGUUGAUCAUAUGAGGUUCAACAGACCCCAGUAUCCAAGAGACAAUUUUCGCAUCCUUGGUAGUCCAUAUACUCAGCUCCUGUGGAUCGGUUGGUGCUGGUGAAGAUCCAUCGAGAUGCCCCUAUAAUUCCUUCCCUUUAACAAACAUAUGAAACUGAAACUCCCAACUAGCAUAGUUUUUGCUAUUGAAUCGAGUAAGAAAAGCCUCUCCAGACAUCCUAGGAAUCCAAAAAAAAUUACCAAAUACUGACGAAUUCAGUCUGUAGACUAAAGAGAAGAACAAAGAUCUAGAUCAGAAUAAUUGGCUCUGAUACCAUGUCACAAAUAUCAAAUUUCAAUGUAAAAUUGUUCUGUGUUUUCAUUGAUUUCUGAAGGAAGAAUUCAGUCCUCUAAAUACAUGUAAUAAUCUCUAAUUUACUGUCUCUAAUCCCUGAUUUGUAGUCUAUAAUAAAUACAAGAUACUCUGUUAUAAUUUGGUUGCCAUAUAUUGUUGAUAUUCUUGCCAUAAUAUACACUGACAGUAACUAGUUCAAACCUGUAGCUAGGAGAUGGGCAAUGCAGUUGCCAAUCUGUUCAUUACACGUAUAAAUAAAGCUGAAUCUAGUUUUAUUCUCGUGAAUACAUCAGAAAAUCACAUGAGCCACUCAGUUGAUUGAUGUGAAACAUUCCAUUAUCUUCAUACGAUAUUGUGAUACAAGUUCAUGCUAAUGAUGUAGUAGAUGAAUAUGAAAGUAAUAUUGGAGGAGAAUACAGGCGAGGCUUCGGUGGAAUCUUCAAUGCUCCAAGAGGUCCUUCCAACAUUUCUAUCACUUUUCUCAUGGAUGGUCUAUCAGAUGGAUUUGUGAGGAUGCACCAAAAGCCAACUAUUGCUAUUUGCCUCACAAUAUCAGAUUGUUCUGCAUUUGUCGUGCCAUUCAAUUCACACUCAUCAACUAGCUCAAGAUGCUUGUAAAUCCAGUCUGGAAAAUAUUUUUCGCUACUGGAACUCAUUUCAGCUUCAUGAUUCUUUCGUCCUCCAACAAUUUCUAGAGCCAUCAUUCCAUAAUUAUAGACAUCGGACUUGUGUGAAACUUGUCCACAGUUUCUACUGAACACUUCUGGUGCUAUAUAUCCAAUGGUUCCUCUUGCCUCCAAUAGCGAUACAUUGAUCUCCUUCCUAGCGCAUGGCUUCGCAAGUCCAAAGUCGGAUAUUGUUGAAUUCAUGUCUCAGAAGCUGCUGACAAAGAAGCUGCUGAUGAAGAAACAGCUGAUGUGGAAUCUGCUGAUGUGGAAGCUGUUAUGAGUUUUAGUUUUAAUAAAACACUAGCUAUUUGAAUUAGUCAAUUUCUGUUAGGAUUGAUAUAAUCCUUUUGUUUAAUUAUUAUCCUUUGAAUUCUGUUACGUAACAGCAAGAGAUUAUGUUGCUGUUACUUGCUUUUAAAGCUUUACUUUUCAAUGUUUUCCAAAAAGCUGUAUAAUCAAUAAAACAGAGAUCAAGAAGUCGAUAUUCAUUCUCUUUUGCAUUUUCAUUUGUUAAAAUCCAACAAAUUGGUAUCAGAGCCGAUUUUUUUCUUGAGAGAUCUGUGAGACAAAGAGAGCCUAAACACUUACCCUAAACACUUACCAUUCUUCUAAAAAACCAAUCAAAACAAAAUGAAUUCAGAAGCCUCCGUAAAUUUAAUGGCACCACCAAUAUUUGAUGGAACAAACUAUCAAGUUUGGGCUGUUCGAAUGGAAGCUUAUCUUGAUGCAAAUGAUCAGUGGAAGCCGUUGAAAACACAUAUGAGGUUCCUCUUUUGCUUGACAAUCCAACUAUAGCUCAAAUGAAAAAUCAUAAGGAGAGUAAGCAAAAGAAAUCAAAGGCAAAAGCUAGCCUAUUUGCAGCUGUCUCAUCUUCAAUCUUCACCAGAAUCAUGACUCUGAAGACAGCAAAUGAGAUAUGGAACUUUCUAAAAAAGGAAUAUGAAGGGAAUGAACGAGUGAAGGGCAUGCAAGUUUUAAAUCUCAUCAGAGAAUUUGAGAUGCAAAGAAUGAAUGAAUCAGAAACCAUCAAGGAUUACUCUGACAGACUUCUUGACAUUGUAAACAAAGUAAGACUUCUUGGUACUGAAUUUACUGAUUCUAGAAUUGUUCAGAAAAUUCUUGUUACAGUCCCUGAAAAAUUUGAAGCUACAAUAUCAUCAAUAGAAAACUCAAAGGAUGUAUCAAGCAUCACUUUGGCAGAGCUAAUGAAUGCACUGCAGGCUCAAGAACAAAGAAGACUCAUGAGGCAAGCAGGUUCUGUGGAAGGUGCUUUUUUUGCAAAAUCACAGAACAACAUACAACAAAGAAACAGAAAUUACAGCAACAGCAACACAACAUUUCCAUUGUGUUCUUACUGCAAAAAAUCCAACCAUCCACAGAGCAGAUGUUGGUGGAGGCCGGAUAUAAAAUGUCACAAAUAUGGACAGCUAGGACACAUUGGAAGGGUAUGCAAAUCUCAACAACAACAGCAGCAGCAAGGAGAAGUCAAAACUGUUGUUGAACAACCUGAAGAAGAACAACUGUUUGUAGCAUCAUGUUUUGUUGCCAAUAACUCAACAGAGAGCUGGCUUAUAGACAAUGGUUGUACCAGCCACAUGACCUAUGAUAAAGAGCUUUUCAAAAGGCUCGACAGAACAGUUAUUUCCAAAGUGAGAAUUGGAAAUGGGGCAUGUCUUGCAGUAAAGGGUAAAGGAACGGUGGCAAUCAAAGGCAACACAGGUUUAAAAUUAAUUUCUGAUGUCUUAUAUGUUCCUAAAAUUAAUCAAAUUCUUUUAAGUGUUGGUCAGCUGCUUGAGAAAGGAUAUAAGGUGCUGUUUGAAGACAAGUUUUGCUUGAUGACUGAUGCACAAAACAAAGAAAUAUUUAAAAUUCAGAUGCAAAGUAAAAGCUUUGCCUUGAAUUUUACAGAAGAAGAACAAGCAGCAGUACAUGAAGAAAAUAGCAGUACAAUGCUUUGGCAUAGAAGAUUGGGGCAUUUUCAUCAUACAGCUAUACUCUUUAUGAAAAACAACAAUCUUGUGAAGGCCUACCUGAUUUAGAAGAAGAUCUUCCAUUGUGUGCAGCCUGUCAGUAUGGGAAGCAGACAAGACUCCCAUUUCCACACAAUAAAAGCUGGAGAGCUACACAGAAACUACAACUAGUGCACACUGAUGUGGGAGGACCUCUGAAAAUAUCAUCAUUAAACGGCAGUAAGUAUUACAUUACUUUCAUUGAUGAUCAUACAAGAAUGUGCUGGAUUUAUUUCAUGAAGUAUAAAUCUGAAGUUGCUGAUAUCUUCUGGAAGUUCAAAGCUUGGGUGGAAAAACAAAGCACACACAAAAUGCAGGUGGUCAGAUUAGACAAUGGAACAAAAUAUACCUCAGAAAAAUUCAACAAGUUCUGUGAAAAGGAAGGCAUUGAACAUCAGCUGACAGCACCUUAUACCCCUCAGCAAAAUGGGGUUGUUGAGAGAAAAAACAGAACACUCAUGGAGAUGACAAGGUGUUUAUUACAUGACAAAGGAUUGCCAAAGAAUUUAUGGGCUGAGGCUGCAAAUACAACAGUGUUUCUUUUGAACAGAUUGCCAACAAAAGCUCUGUAACAGAAAACUCCAUUUGAGGCAUGGUAUGGCUAUAAACCAAAGUUGCAAAAUUUAAAAACUUUCGGUUGUCUUUGUUUCUCUUACAUUCCACAGGUCAAAAGAGACAAACUUGAUAAAAAGGCAGAACCUGGAAUCUUUGUAGGCUACAGCUUAGUAUCCAAAGCCUACAAGAUUUAUCUUCCACAAGACAACAAAGUGAUUGUGAGCAGAAACAUCCAAUUCUUUGAGUCAGAAAGCUGGAACUGGGAGAAAAAUAAGCUUGAAUUUCAAGAGGAGAAUGCUGAUGUUGAUGAUGAAUCUGUUACAAAAAUCAGAUUGCUUUCUGAUAUCUAUCAGAGUUGCAAUGUGGCAUUAAUUGAACCUGCAGGAUAUGAAGAAGCUGCUGCAGAUCAACAUUGGAUGGCUGCAAUGAAGGAGGAGCUUAUGAUGAUUGAGAAGAAUCAGACUUGGUUGCUUGUGAACAGACCUGCACAUAAAAAGGCCAUAGGAGUCAAAUGGGUUUAUAGAACCAAGUUCAAUGCUGACGGUUCUAUAAAUAAACACAAAGCAAGACUUGUUGUCAAGGGAUAUGCUCAGAUGUUUGGGGUGGAUUUUUCUGAAACCUUUGCUCCGGUUGCUAGGCUUGAUACUAUAAGAAUGCUGCUUGCUUUUGCUGCUCAAAAUGGUUGGACUAUACAUCAAAUGGAUGUCAAAUCUGCUUUUUUAAAUGGAUAUUUGGAGGAGGAAAUAUUCGUGGAGCAGCCUAAAGGUUUUGUUGUUCAAGGAGAAGAGGAGAAAGUAUAUUUGCUGAAAAAGGCUCUCUAUGGUUUAAAGCAAGCACGAAGGGCUUGGUACAGCAGGAUUGAUGCUCAUUUGUUAGACUUAGGCUUUACAAAAAGUCUAAGUGAAUUUACACUCUAUCUCAGAAAAAUCAAUGAUGAAUUGCUUGUGGUUUCUCUUUAUGUGGAUGACUUACUUGUGACAGGAAGUAACAUGGAGCAGAUUGAUGUGUUCAAAAGAGAAAUGAAGAAAGUCUUUGAAAUGACUGACUUGGGAAAGAUGACAUUCUUUCUCGACAUGGAAGUUCAACAAAAGCAGAAUGAAAUCUUCAUAUGUCAGCAAAAAUAUGCCAAAGAGAUUUUAAAGAAGUUCAACAUGGAAGAGUGCAGAUCAACAGCAACACCAAUGAAUCAAAAGGAGAAAUUUUGCAAAGAAGAUGGAGCUGCAAAGAUUGAUGAAACACUCUAUAGAACCUUAAUAGGAUGCUUGAUGUAUCUUACUGCAACAAGACCCGACAUUAUGAAUGCUACAAGUAUACUUUCAAGGUAUAUGCAUUGUGCAAGUGAAAUUCAUUUUCAGGCAGCAAAAAGAAUUGUCAGAUAUAUUAAGGGAACAAUUGACUAUGGAUUGAAGUUCUGUCAAGUCAAAAACUCUAUACUCCAUGGUUAUUCUGACAGUGAUUGGGCCAACUGUGUUGAUGAUAUGAGAAGCACUUCAGGUUAUUGUUUUAGUUUUGGUUCUGCCAUUUUUUCGUGGAGUUCAAAGAAGCAAGAAGUCAUUGCUCAAUCCACAGCUGAGGCAAAGUAUGUUGCUGCUACUGCUGCUGUGAAUCAGGCUAUUUGGAUUAGAAAGUUAAUGGCUGAUCUGCAGAUGGAGCAAAAGGAAAGCACACAAAUACUUGUAGACAAUCAAGCUGCAAUUGUAAUUGCAAAAAAUCCUGUGUUUCAUGGCAAAACGAAACAUUUCAAACUGAAACUCUAUUUCCUAAGAGAAGUUCAAAGAGAAGGUGAAAUACAGCUAAUCUAUUGCAAAACAGAAAAUCAAAAUGCUGAUAUUCUGACCAAGCCGCUUCCUCAAGCAAAGUAUGAAUUCUUUAGGCAGAGACUUGGAGUCUGCAGCUUCAGAGCCAAAGAGGAGUGUUGAAUUCAUGUCUCAGAAGCUGCUGAUAAAGAAACAGCUGAUGUGGAAUCUGCUGAUGUGGAAGCUGUUAUGAGUUUUAGUUUUAAUAAAACACUAGCUAUUUGAAUUAGUCAAUUUCUGUUAGGAUUGAUAUAAUCCUUUUGUUUAAUUAUUAUCCUUUGAAUUCUGUUACGUAACAGCAUGAGAUUAUGUUGCUGUUACUUGCUUUUAAAGCUUUACUUUUCAAUGUUUUCCAAAAAGCUGUAUAAUCAAUAAAACAGAGAUCAAGAAGUCGAUAUUCAUUCUCUUUUGCAUUUUCAUUUGUUAAAAUCCAACACAUAUCUUAGGGGGAAAAUCUGCAUCAAGAAGAAUGUUACGAGGGUUAAUGUCAAAAUGCACAAUCCUUGUAUUGCACCCUCGAUGCAAAUACUCAAGCCCUCGAGCAACGCCAAUUAAAAUCUGGUACAAUUUAAUCCAUCCCAGCUGUUGAUUGGCUUGCAAAGCAUUUUCAUGAUUUAUGAACUUUUCAAGCGAUCCAUUGACCAUGAAGUCAUAAAUGAGAACUCUUUUGUCACCCUCCAAACAAAAUCCCAGUAGAGUGACAAUAUUGACAUGGGAAGUUUUACUAAUGCUUGCAACCUCAUUUAUGAAUUCUUCCCCGUCCCCUUUUGAAGCUUGCAUGACCUUCACUGCCACCAGAUGGCCAUCCUGUAGCUUUCCUUUGUAAACAAUUCCAUAGCCUCCUUGACCAAGUUUAUCUUUGAAAAAAUUGGUCAUUUUCUUAACAUCCGACAGAUUGUAUCUUUUCAGAGCUAGUGGUCGGUGGUUUCUUAUGAAAACCUCAAGAUCUUGAUUAUGUUUCUUCUUUAGAAAAAUAGGUGUGGUAGUUGAUGAGGCCUUCCUUCUGGAAUAAAGAAUCACGCAGAUGAAUAAAAUUCCUGCUGAUCCAAAGAGAACACCUCCCAGUUGAGGAGGCUGAUGAGUUACUUGGGGACUGACAUUGUCAUGAUACAAAAACAGCAGCAGAAACAGAAAAAUGUUCUCUUGAUUCAGCAGGAACAAGGAAAGCUUUCAAAAAAUAAAUUCAGACAAGUAAUGAAUUUGCUGAGGAGGAGACAGACCAAGCAUAAAUAGUGCCAAAGUGUUGUUUACUUAAAUAUUUUGUGUAGCCAAACCAGUCUGAACAAAGCAGAGCUAAAUUGCAAGGGAAAAAAAUAAAAUUAAAUCACCAACUCUCUCUGUUGAAAGAUGAAUAUGAUCCCCUAAUUUAAAAUUAAAGAUCUACAGUUGUUGAGUGUGGAGACGAACUCCCACAAUCCUAGCUUUGAUGAGAUGUAAACAAGGCUUGAAGAGAGGCUGAAAUGGAGGAUUUGAAAUGGGCUGAAAUCAUGGCUAAUUGUCUGCCAUUGAUGCUAGGAUUGGGGACAGAAAUGGGAAUGUUCGUCCCGCCCAUUUCCACUAUAAAUAGAGCCAAUACAAGUACCAAUACUAGCAGUAGCAAGAGAAAGAAGCUGCCAUGGGCAGCAGCAGCAGUAGCAUAGAGUAGGAGAGAUGUGAUACACGAGUGGGGGUAGAGUAGAGGGAGUUCCUCCUCCUCCAUUGUUGUAUCUUUGUAAUUUCUCUCUAUAUAAUGAUAUUGGCUGCCCGGUUGACAAAGGUGAGUUGCCGAACCACGUCAAAUUGUGUUUAGGAUCCGGGCAAAGUUCAACCAAUCAUAACAACAGUGACUUCUAUUUGUUGGCGUAGAAAAAUCACCAGCCAGAUGGUUUCAGUAUAAACACGAAUUCAAUUAUUUGCACCAGAAUUUGAAUCACACACAUCAUCAUGAUUAUACUGAAAUAGCUAUACAGAGAAGGCGAGGGACUGAUGAACAUUCUGAAUUCCAGCUCAGUUAGAACGAUAAUGAAGAGGAAAAGGCACACAGCACUCAGUAAGGAUCAAAGCAGGAAGAGGUCAGGGGACUAUCUUACCAAUAAUAAUAAUAAUAAUAAUAAUCUCCCGUCCGACAUUAAGACUUGAGCCUGCGGAACAAUUCAAGUGGAGUAAUGCAUUAGUGUGAGAUGGGAGCAGCUUUACAUGUAGAAGAAAAUCUGAACAAAACGUAUUCUUUCAUAUCCUGAAAUCUUAUGAUAUUAUAGAAGUGAUAAACAGAGAAAAUGACGAGGAAAAAUGAAACCAUAAAUAUAUAUACUCCGGAUACUUAUUUCGAAAACAACAUGAUUUAAAAGCGUUGCAGUGUUUCCUACAUAUUGCAGCAACAGAGGAAAAUGAGUAAUCAAAUAAAGAACGCAUGACGCUGAAAGAAACCAACACCAUUAAUCAUAAAGAAUAUUUGAUGAAGAGUUACCAGCAUCGCAAGAUUUGAGACGAGGCCCAUCACGGCAAAAACAAUUGAAUUCAUUAUUCUCAAAUCCACAACGCCCACCACUUCUCUCACAAGUGCUACAAUCAUGAGCAGUCCAGUUCAUAAGGAACCCCAUCUUCAAAACCUCACGAUAAUUUUCUCCAAGCAGACUACCAAUAUCUUCAAAACCUCACGAUAAUUUUCUCCAAGCAGACUACCAAUAUCUUCACCAGUGUGGAUAGGAGCAUUAGCAAAAUCCUGGCAUGAAUUCAAUAAGUAAAUGUUGGGCAUCUCUGUUUCUUCCAAGUGAAAACCGGCAAUAGAAUAAUGUGUAGAAUUUGUGGCACAACUUAAUGCAUAGAGAGUGUAGUAAUCUUCGGGCUUUAAUGUACAAUUGUAGAAGAAGGAGAAAUUAGUAUAGCCAGGACUAAUAGUAAGGGGUGUUCUAUCAAGGCUAAUGUUAUGCAAAAGAGGUGGACAGGUUUCCUCAUACACAGCAGCAUUAGCCACGCGCAUAGAAUUAGUGGCGUAAGAGAUAUCUUUAAGAUAUAAACAUCAUUGGAAAUUGUGAGUGCUGGCCUUCUGUCACUGCAGGUGAGCAUAAAAUUUGGAUGGCCACAAAAGGGUUCUUGUUCUUGAGAUAGCCAAAAAGGGCAGCUUAUGUUAGGGCCAGCACCACAGUUUUUUGGUUCACAAGACUUAAACUUUGGAUGCUGUGAUACAGUUUGGGUGGCCAAGUAUGUGAAAAGAAAGAUACAGUUGUAGAUAGAAAGAAGCUUUUUGAAUGCGAAGGAGUUAUUGGGAUCCAUUUGGAGAACUCAAAAACAGAUGAAGAAAGGGGAGACAGAAGGAUUUGAAACAAAGUUCCUACGUAGAUGGUAAGACUUGGUUUGAAGAGUCUCUGUAUGGCUUGAUUGAAAAAGGAGGGAAAGGACAAAAACAAUCCAAUUUGUCCAAGCAGAAGCAAGUUGCUUGCUAUUUCAUCGACCUGGGAAAGUCUAUAAUAGUCAUGUGUGGUGGCUACGAGUCUUGUAAUAACUAGAUUUUAACCCUCUAUUUAAAAAAAAAAUCCAAAAAAAUAUCUUUUCAGCAUUUUUAGUUAUUUAUUUAUUUUGUGUGUUAAAAAAUCUUAAAAUUUAUAUAAAAAAAUUAAUACAAAAUACAAAAAUAAAAUAAAUCUAAAAAUAAUUGAGCAUCACGGGCGAAGAUAGAGAUUGAGAAUUUAGAGGUCAUAAUUGAGGCCUGAAUUAAAAAGAAAAUUGAAAAUAGAUUAACUUGAUUUAAUUUCUCUAUGAGUAAAAGAAAUUUGAAGUUUAAUAAUAAUUAUGAAACAAAUAGCUAGAUUACAAAUCAUUGAAGAGUUUAAUUAAAAAAAAUCAAAAUUGAAAAUUAGAUUGGUUAAAAUUACAUGAUUUUAAGGAUAAGGAUAAAUUUGCAACAAAUAAUUAAAUUUUAAGAUCUAUAUUGAUUUCAUUAUAGAUACAAUUGAAAAGGAUAAAUUGAAUGAGAUUGUAAAACUUCAUGCAAUUGAAAAGGGUAAAUUGAAUGAGAUUGUAAAAAUUCAAAAUCCAAGCACUUCAAUGAGAAUAAUAAAAGCUUGUUUGAAUGUUUAUUUCAGUCCAUUUAAUUCAAUCCAGUCCAAAUUAAUUCAUUGAUUUCAUUCAUGUUAGUCCAAUUAAACUAAUUUGAUUCAAUUCAGUCUCAAGUUAAUUCAAUGUCAAUUAAUUAAUAUCAAUCUAGUCCUAUUGUGUUCAAUUCAUUCAUUUUUAGCCCAGAAUCCAUAUAAUCAAGCAAUCUCCGGCUAUUAAUCCCAGAUUUCAAAUUUUCCGAUUGAAGAUUUCAAUCCUAUAUUUUGAGCUCCCAAAAUCCAGCAAUCAAUAUCCCAAUCCCAUGAUUAUAGCCCAAAUCUGCAGUCAAUUCCCAAAUCAAAUCCCAAAUCAUUCUAAAAGACACAGGAACAAUCGAACACGGGAGGAUGAGCAUUCAGCAUUUUUCCAGCUCUCAACACAAUAAAAAAACCAGAGAAAAAAAUUCCAUUCCUCACGGCCAUAAUCAUACACUGCCAAGACCAAAAAAUACAAUACUUUUCAUAGAUCAAGUAGUUAUGGAAAUGAACGAAAUUAGAUAUAAUUUUAAGAAGGUAAUGGCACCCAAAUUUUUAGAUUUUUUUUUUAAGUUGUAGCUCUAUUUUAAGGAUUUUUUUUUCAUUCUAAAUAUGCAUUUUCCCCUCAAAAAGUAUCCUUUUUUGACCUUGCCUGAGUCGUCUUCUAUAACUCAACUUGAUGAUGAGAAAAGCAUAUGAUAUUGCACCUCAUCGUGCAGCCUCUUGAAUUCCGCAGCCCUAACUGGACCAUAUUACGGUGUUAUCUGAUACAGUGGAAAGUCGUCGAAAAAUAUUACAAUUUCAGAGAUAUACUCUUUAUUUUUCUGCCCUUUUCAACAUUGAAGGGCAUAAGGUUUCUGACCUACUAAAAUUUCAAACAAAAUAAUUUCUUUAUGUGCUUGCAUUAAAAAUAAAAGUAAUCACAGAACCAAACAAUCACCAGUGAUGCCUAACGCUCCCAGGUAUCUCUCUUGUGCACCCCUCCUGUAGCUCUCUUGUGCACCAAGCACAGUCCAAAAAUGUUUCGACUGCCAACUUGGAGGUCAAUGGUCAACUUUGAUCUUAUAUAUAUAUAUAUAUAUAUAUAUAUGUAUUUUGUCUGUGUCAAAACAAGUAAGGGUCCCUUUGUUUACAAUACAUGGCACAAAGCAUCGACCUUCCUCUCUCUUUCAUUUCCUACAAAAUGAUGGAACAAUCUAUGGGUUGAGCCACCAGUUAAAUCCCCUUCUCCUCGUUAAAGAGAGUCUCUUCACGUUUUCAAAAAAAAAAAAAAAUGGUUGCCCGUCUCUCUCUCUAUCAACACCACCCCAUUAUCACAACCGUCUUCUCUGUCCUAAUAAUCCUUGUAUCAACCUCCUAUGGAGAUGAUGAUAAGGAUUACACAGAUUGCGAUAAGCCCUUUAGUUGUGGACUCUUGCCGGAACUUUCUUACCCUUUUUGGGGAGGUGAUCGACCUGAAGUUUGUGGACACAAGGGGUUCAAGCUCAAGUGUGAAGAAGGUCAGCUCCCUAUAAUAGCCAGCGACACGCUUGAAUUUCGCUUAUUGAAUCUAAAGCAAUCUUCCAGGUUGAUGGCUCUUCAGCUAGUGAAUUUCGAGGAGUACAUUUGUCCUACUCAAAUAAGAACCAAUUCAAGCAGUGGCAGCGACAUCCAUAUUUUCGGUUAUGACCUGAGCCUUCAAAACCUCAACUUACUCUACAAUUGCUCUAUGUCUAGCUCGACAGUUAACAGAAUUUCGUUUUGUAAUGGAUAUACUGGGAGCUCAUUCUAUGGAAAUGAUGAUAUCUUGGCAAACAGUAGUGGGCUAGACGUACGUAAUGCAAUGUAGCAUGAGGAUUAGAAUUCCCAUUGCUAAGUCUUUUGGUGAGCUACUUGUGGGUGAUAGACCAGAAUUGGAGGAGGUUUUAGGAGAAGGGUACAAUGUGUCGUACGAGUAUGAUCAAGGUCCUUCAAUUUGCGAGAGGGAUGUAUGGCUUCAAGAGGAAUAUGUGGAACUAACAUGACCCAUCCGGAUAAAGAGUUCAUGUGCCUUUGCCGUGACCAACCUUAUGCUUUUGUGUGUCAAGGUAAGCUCGGCAUGCCUCACUCUCUCUCCUUUUUUCCCCUUGUUAAUUACUAGUACCUAUUCAACCUAUUGCGUUUCAUGUUAUUUGCCAGGGUAAUGAAGUUAGUGAGGGGAAAUUAGGGUUGAUAAUUAGGAUAAAAGUACUUGGGGGCUCUGUUCUUAAUCAAAAUUUUAUAAGGACGUCGUAGUAAUAGGACACAAUCACAAGAGCAAACAGCCAGGUGUAUAUGGAACAUUUGGUAGAUUUUGGUAUGCCUGAAAAUAUUGAUUCUACUGGAUUGGACAAAUAAUUAUUUUGUUUUGUAUUUGGUGUGAUUUGCAUUGGAUUGGAUAAUUUGUUUUAUUUUAUGUUUGCUAGACAUUAGACUGGACUUGACCAGCUUAAGGUUUAGACCGUUCCAAGUUUUUUUAAAAAUAGAAGAAUGAUUGAUCCGACAUGAUCCGAUCAAAAACUCGGGUCAACCUAUGACCUAGUCUACUCGGGAUAAAACACAGGUAAAAAAUCCAUUGACUUUUUUUAUAUAUAGUCGAAAUGAGGUUGCACGUUGAUUUUUUUAAAAAAAUUUAGGUUAACCCAUGUUGACCCUCCCAAGCCGUGACUUAGGUCUUACCCAAGUCGAACUCAUUAUGAUAAUAACAAUUAUUAUUUUUAUGUUGCUUUGGGUCAACCUAGGUUGACCAUCCUAAACCAUAGCUUGAACCUUGUCCUAGGUCGACCUCUUAGUUGAGUUUUAAAAUUAUGAUAAUAAUCAUUUUUAUCUUUACAUUGAUUCAGAUCAAUGUCAACUUGACCCAUGACCCAAGUCUAGCCCCGGGUCAACCUCUUAGUUGAGUUUUAAAAUUAUGAUAAUAAUUAUUUUUAUCCUUACAUUGAUUAGGGUUAAUGGUCAACCUGACUCAUGACCCAAGCCUAGCCUCGGGUCGAUCCUCAAUUAGGAUUUUAAAACUAUAAUAACAAUCAUUUUAUUUUUAUGUUGAUUCGAGUCAAUGAUCAAACUAGCCCGUGACUCGAGCCUGGCCCCAAGUUGACUCCCGAAUCGGUUUAAAGAUUAUGGUAAUAAUAAUUUGUAUCCUUAUAUUGACUCGAGUAAAUAAUCAUCCCGACCUGUGACCCAAACAUAUUCAGCCCGGACCUGCUCCCAAGUUGAGUUUUAGAACUCUAAUAAUUAUUAUUUUAUCUUUACAUUAAUACGAGUCAAUAGUCACCCUGAUUUGUGACCUGGACUUGAUCACAAGUCUAUCUCCAAAUUAAAUUUUAAAACUAUAAUAAUAAUUAUUUUUAUUUUUAUAUUUAUCCAAGUAAUUCCUUAAAGUAUUAUAAUGUCUAGUUUAUCAUGGUGUUCAUUAGAAACACUUCCUUAGGGAAUUCCCCAAGGUAAAACCCUAACUAAACCAAAUUCUCUGGUUAAUUAGAACACAGUAGAAAUCAAUUAAUUCUGAGUUUUGUCUUGGAGUCUAUAUAUAUAUAUAUACGAGAUUACUUGCCCGCGCGCUGCCGCGGGCUUAUAAAACAAAUGCACUUGAUAGUGUUAUAAUUGUGAACCAGUGCUAAAUAAGUAAUAGAAAUUAAAGGUAUGAUGGAGCAAAUAUUUCAUGACGGAAAAAGAAGUUGGGCUGGUGAUCAAAAACUUAGAGACUGAAUAAAAUGAUUUGUAGCAAUCUACAGUGUUUUGUGAGGAAAGAUACAGUGAUUUCGCCACAUGAUUUAGCUUUUGAGUUAAUAAAAAGCAAAAAAAAAAAAUACAAAGCUAAAUUCUCUACCAACUUAAUAUUAAAAAAAAACCAACAAAGAUAAUUUUGGAAGGAAAAAAACCCAUGAGAAAAGAUGUUGCAGUAAUUGACAAUGUUUUGUGAGGAAAAUUACAGCGUUUUUCCCAAUAAAAUAAACUAAAAAACUAUUUAGAGAAAUAUUAUAGCAAUCCACAGUGUUUUGUGAGAAAAACUACAACGCUUUUCUCAUAUGAUUUAACUUUAUUGUAAUUAUAAUUCUUAAUCAACUCAAUAUUAAAAAAAAAAUCGACAAAGAUAAUUUUGGAAAAAAUCAUAAAAAAAUCACAUGGAAAAACACUACAACAAUUCACAGUGUUUUAAAUAAAAAAAAUAACAAAGCUAAAUUCUUAAUCGGCUCAAUAUUAAAAAAAAAAUCAACAUAGAUAAUUUUAGGAAAAAAAAAAACAAACACCAAAAAAAGGGGGAAAAAUCAUGUUGGAAACACUGUAGCAAUUCACAGUGUUUUGUGAUGAAAGCUACAGUGCUUCCCCACAUGAUUUAGCCUUAUUUGUAAUGACUUGUAAUUGUAAUUCACAAACAACUCAAUAUCAAAAAAAUAAAAUUGAAAAAGAUAAUUUGAAAAAAAUUAUAACAAAAAAAACUAUGCGGAGAGACACUAUAGCAAUCCACAAUGUUUUAUGAGCAAAGCUACAAUACUUUCCCCACAUGAUUAAGCUUUAUUACAAAGUUAAAUUUUAACCAACUCAAUAUUUAAAAAAAUAAAAUCGACGAAAAUAAUUUUGGAAAAAAAUAUUACAAAAAAAGAAAACACAAAAGAAACUGGAAAAAAACUAUGUGAGGAAAAACUGUAUCAAUCCAUAGUGUUCUUUGAGGAAAAACUUGUAUUUACUUGUAAUUACAAUUCUUAACCAGCUUAAUAUUUAAAAAAUAAAAUUGACAAAGAUAAUUUUAGGGAAAAACAUAACGAAAACAGAAAAAAAACCAUGUGGGAAAAAACACUGUAGCAACCAACAGUAAUUUUCGAGGAAAGUUAAAGUGCUUUCCUCACAUAUUGUAACUGUAAUUUUUAACCAGCUCAAUAUUAAAAAAUAAAAUAAAAAAAGAUAAUUUUAGAGAAAAUCAUAAAAAAAAUCAUGCAGAGAAACACUGUAGCAAUAAACAAUGUUUUAAAGAAAAAAAUUACAAAACUAAAUUCUCAAUCAGCUUCAUAUUAAAAAAAAUUGAAAAAUAUAAUUUUUUAAAAUAAAGAAAUAAAAUAGAAAAACUAUGUGGAAAAACAUCGCAUCAAUCCACAGUAUUUUCAAGAAAAAAAUUACAAAGCAAAAAUUUUAACCAGGUCAAUAUUUAAAAAGUAAAAUCAACAAAAAUAAUUUUGAAAAAAACAAAAGAAAAAAUAAAUGAAAAAAAAUUAGGAAAGUUGAAAAAAAAAAUAAUUUUGAAAAACAAAUUUGAAAAAAAAACGAAAAAAAAAGGGAAAAGUAAAAAAAAAAAAUAGAAAAAAAUCACUGUAGAUUACUAUUGUAAUCCACAGUGAAAUGUGUGUGGGGGAACAGACACGGUUUAGUAUAUGUGUUAAUUUGUGGCUAGUUAACAAUGGUUUCUAUUUUCUUCUUGACAGUAAUGUUUUCUUAUAAUAAACUUCAGCUUGGUUUCCUUAACAAAGGCCAGACCCAAAACUUCCUUGAGCCUGACCAAAACUCAUGGGCUCAGUCCAGUCCUCUCCUAAGGCAACACCACAGCUCAAUUCUUAGGUAUCUAGCGGAUCAUUUCUCAAAGGGAGUUGCAAAAGAGCUGUCCACUUCCGGUUCAACUAACCACUCCUGACUUAAAAGUCAACCACUCAAACCUUCAAUUUCAAUAUUAAUUGCUUGAUGUUUAUUAUUUUUAAUUAUUUUUUAAGAUUUUUUUUAUUUAAAAAUAUAUUAAAAUAUGUUUUUCUUUUUAAAAUUUAAUUUUGAUAUUAACAUAUCAAAACAAUUAAAAAAUACAAAAUAAAAUUUUAAUUUGAAACUAAAAGCAAAAUAUUUUAAGAAAUUAAAAAAAGACAGUUGUAUCGCAAUGUUAAUCACGAGAUUCACUGCAUUCUCAAAAUAGAUUUUUAUCAUCUUAUUGGUAAUUCUAAUGAGCAUUCUUAUUAGAAUUGAGUUUCAACAUGGUUAUUUUUUGUUAAAAUUUGAUUUUUUAAAAUUAAUUUUUUAGUGUUUUUAGAUUGUUUUGAUGUGUUAAUUUCAAAAAUAAAUUUUAAAAAAUAAAAAAAAAUAUAUUUUAAAAUAAAAAAUAUUUUAAAAAAUACUAAUACUAUUAAAUUUUUGUCAUUUUUACGUAUCAAAACUCCUUGUAUAUCCUCUGAAACCUGGGAAAACUAUUGACGAAUUCUAUAAAAUAAAAAGAAAAGUCAUUGUCUUUUCCAUCAAAAUAUCCUAUCCUCUGACAUUGAAAGCAGAAUUGAUAUUGAAGAGUCGGCCAAUCCGCGUCGCAAGUCGUUUAACGACUACACUAGAAUUCUGAUGUCUGGUAAUAUUAUUAUUUACCCCAUGCCAUGAUUAGGCACCACCCAAGACUGGACCAGUCGUCAUUUAGACUCAUUGCUCAUAGCAACCACACAAGAUUUUGUGGACUUUUCUAGGUUGAUGAAAUAGCAAGCAACUUGCUUUUGCUUUUGCUUCCACAAAAUGGUUUGUUUCUGUCCUUCCUUCCUUUUUCAAUCACGAAUAAACGAAAGCAACAACGUUAGCCAAUUCAAAGACUCUUAAAGCCAAGUCUUACCAACUACAUAGGAACUUUGUUUCAAACCCUUAUGUCUCCCCUUUCUUCCUCUGUUUUUGAGCACUCCAAAUGGAUCCCAAUAACUCCUUCGCAUUCAGAAAGCUUCUUCCUAUCUACAACUGUAUCUUUCUUUUCACAUACUUGGCCAACCAAACUGUAUCACAGCAUCCAAAGUUCAAGUCUUGUGAACCAAAAAACUGUGGUGGUGCUGGCCCUAACAUAAGCUACCCUUUUUGGCUAUCUCAAGAACAAGAAUCCUUUUGUGGCUAUCCAAAUUUUAUGCUCAACUGCAGUGACAAAGGGCCAGUACUCGCAAUUUCCAAUGAUGUUUAUAUCAUUAAAAGUAUCUCUUAUGCCAAUAAUUCUUUGCUUGUGGCUAAUGCUGCUGUGUAUGAGGAAACCUGUCCAACUCCUUUGCAUAACAUUAACCUUGAUAGAACACCCUUUACUAUUAGUCCUGGCUAUACUAAUCUCUCCUUCUUCUACAGUUGUACCUCAAAGCCCAAAGAUUACAACUAUCUCUAUAAUUUAAGCUGUGCCACAAAUUCUACACAUUAUUCUUUUGCCGGUUUUCACUUCGAAGAAAUAGAGAAGCACAGCAAUUACUCAUUGAAGUCAUGCCAUGAUUUUGUUAUUGCUCCUAUCCACACUGGUGAAGAUAAUGGUAGUCUGCUUGGAGAAAAUUAUCGUGAGGUUUUGAAGAUGGGGUUCCUUAUGAAUUGGACUGCUCCUAAUUGUAGCACUUGUGAGAGCAGUGGUGGGCGUUGUGGGUUUGAGAAUCAUGAAUGCAUUUGUUUUUGCCGUGAUCGGCCUCGUCUCAAAUCUUGUGAUGCUGGUAACUCUUCAUCAAAUAUUUCGUUUAUCCCAUCAUCCUUGCUAUGUAUUUUUUCUAUUUCCUAACAAUGGCAAAUUCUCGGGGAGGACUAGCCAUUUCUGAUUCGGUUAGAUUGAGAAUUUGGACAGGUUAAUUUCUUGAUUAGUCCAUGAAUUUACAUAGACAACCAAACUUUAAACAAUGAUGCCAAUCCCUGACAUAUUGACAUGAAAAGGCACUUGUACUGUAUGAAAAGUUCAAUGCUUGGAUGGAGUUGUGCUUGCAUCAGAGUAUUUGUCUGUUUAGAACCAUGAUUCUUUCUUUUCUCUCUCUUUCCUUCCAUAUUUUUUAUAUGCUGCUUUGUAUGGAAUGCUAGAUGCUUCUACUUAUUGGAUCGAUCUCUUCAACAGCACAAGUACUAUGCAUACAUCGCAUUUGCAGUUUUAGAAAGGUUCAGUUUUGUAUAUAAAGCUGUUCUGAUCUCGCAGAAGUCUAAAAUUUCAAAUUUUUUUGUUUUAACUUUUUUCAUGAGAAUAUUAACACCUCAUUGCUUUGAAUUAUUCUAUCCAGGAACUAGUUUGAAUGUGGGCCGGAAGGUUGCCAUAGGUAAGAUCUCUGUCUACCGUUUAUUUAUGUUUCUGUGCUUUGUUACUCACUUCAAUUUCAUGUCUAAAUGUUGUAGAAAUUCUCUCACCAAACUGUUACUGAAAAGGCUAACCAAUUUCUAUAUUCUGCUUUUAAGGUCUUGGGGCAUCUCUUGGUACAUUAGUCACAAUGCUCAUAGCCUUCUUCUUCUGGUACCGCCGCAAGAAAAGGCAAUAUGAAUCCAUUUUCUCUAGAAGCAUCAAAUCGCUACCGUCUUCAAAGGCACAUACGGAGAUGCGAAGUAGCUACAAUGGUGCUCAUCUAUUCUCUUAUGAAGAACUUGAAGAGGCCACUAACAAUUUUGAUAAGACCAGAGAGCUUGGAGAUGGAGGCUUCGGGACAGUAUAUUACGGUAAAGAAAUAAUAAUCACUGUCUUUUGUGUUGUGUUUUAAGGAACAAUUUGUUGAAAAAUUUGCUUCUCCUUGUGUUGUUUCAUCAGGAAAACUUCCAGAUGGGCUUGAAGUUGCAGUCAAGCGCUUAUACGAGAACAAUUUUAAGAGGCUUGAGCAGUUCUUGAAUGAAGUUGAUAUUCUAACUCCCUUGCGCCAUCAAAACCUUGUCCUACUGCAUGGAUGCACCUCUCGGGACAGCCGUGAACUCCUACUAGUAUAUCAGUACAUUCCCAAUGGUACACUUGCUGAUCAUCUUCAUGGUGAAAGAGCAAAGCCUGGUGCACUCCCUUGGUCUACUCGAAUGAAC
rnacentral:lncRNA from 1 species